UACGUAGGGUGCAAGCGUUGUCCGGAAUUACUGGGCGUAAAGGGCUCGUAGGCGGCCAACUAAGUCGGAUGUGAAAUCCCCAGGCUUAACCUGGGAACUGCAUCCGAUACUGGAUGGCUUGAAUUCGGGAGAGGGAUGCAGAAUUCCAGGUGUAGCGGUGAAAUGCGUAGAUAUCUGGAGGAAUACCGGUGGCGAAGGCGGCAUCCUGGACCGAGAUUGACGCUGAUGAGCGAAAGCUAGGGGAGCAAACGGG
rnacentral:rRNA from 1 species